rnacentral:rRNA from 1 species
CAGCGGCCCUAGUGGUGAUCGUUAUUAUUGGGCCUAAAGCGUCCGUAGCCGGUUCGGUAAAUCUCUGGGUAAAUCGUUGGGCUUAACUCAGCGAAUUCUGGGGAGACUGCCGAACUUGGGACCGGGAGAGGUCGGAGGUACUCCAGGGGUAGGGGUGAAAUCCUGUAAUCCUUGGGGGACCACCGGUGGCGAAAGCGUCCGACCAGAACGGGUCCGACGGUAAGGGACGAAGCCCUGGGUCGCGAACCGGAUUAGAUACCCGUGUAGUCC